AUUGAACGCUGGCGGCAAGCCUAACACAUGCAAGUCGAACGAGUGGCGGACGGGUGGGUAAUGUCUGGGCAACUGCCUGAUGGAGGGGGAUAACUACUGGAAACGGUAGCUAAUACCGCAUACCAUCGGAUGUGCCCAUAUGGGAUUAGCUAGUCGGUGGGGUAAAGGCUGACCUAGGCGACGAUCCCUAGCUGGUCUGAGAGGAUGACCAGCAACACGGGAACUGAGACACGGGCCAGACUCCGACGGGAGGCAGCAGUGGGGAAUAUUGGACAAUGGGCGAAAGCCUGAUGCAGCCAUGCCGCGUGUAUGAAGAAGGCCUUCGGGUUGUAAAGCACUGUCAGCGGGGAGGCGUUACCCGCAGAAGAAGCACCGGCUAACUCCGUGCCAGCAGCCGCGGUAAUAC
rnacentral:rRNA from 1 species